rnacentral:lncRNA from 1 species
ACCGCCAUCAGUCGUGUGGGGAUUAGCGGCUAAAAAAUAAGUGUAAUCGACCAGACGGAUACGAAAUUUAUCAGGUAAAUUUAUCUUUUUCUGGUAAUUAAAGACCGACACCUGUUGCUUCCAAAAAAUGGACGCCGGGAAGGUGUCGUUUAGUAGGCUGGCACUCGGCCAUUCCGAUCCGAUAGAGACGAUAUAUACGACAUGGGUUUUUAGACACGGCUGGGAAUAAUGGAUCUACUUCCGGCCGUAACUACCACGGGAUUGGCGUACGCGUUAAUUCGGGCCGGAGAUAUCCGGCACGGGCCAGGGAAAUGGGCUGGUUAUAUAAUAAUAGGUAUAUUUAGUAAGAGGCUGGUUUACUAUAUCCGAAAGAUGUCGAUAGGCGGAAUCGGAAUAUGUAAAAACAAUUGGGUCAGAAAACCACCCGGGGCAUCAUUUUUCUUAAUUUUUUGGUGGGAUAGAGGCACGCUCUAGCCGGACGGCCCGGUCCGUCCACCAUCAUCACUUUCGUUGGUCAUUUAAAUUUUAUGACGGGUCGUUAUCGGAAUUUCGAUCGGUGCUAACCGGAGACCCGUUGGGACGCGUGACAUCAUCGGUACCUGCCAGAUGGGAAUAAACUCGUCUUUCCACCCACCGACGACUGGUUCACCUUCAAGAUGGGCCAAAAGAAACGUUUGCGUGUCUUCCCAUCCAAUUAUCGCGUACCAAACGAAUUUUUUGCUCCGCGCGUGUAAGGAAAAGAAUUUCUGCCAGAAAGGACGAUUUACAGCCCCCGCUUUGUACCGGGCCGAAGAUAUCCUUCCCGGUAGACGACGAAAAAUAGUUUAGCCGUCCCGAUACGGAUGGCGGCCAUGGUGAGACCAAAGUGAACGGCUACGAGUCGAAGCCGAAAAGAUGGCCGAGUCAGGUUACAAACGGCUCGGGCCAAACUAAGUAGCGGUAGAAAGAUAACCUACAUCUUAACCGAGCGGUAGUCGGACCAGAAGGGGUAAACUAGUGGCGGAUGAGAAGGUGGGCGUCCCGAGAAUAUUCCGAUACGUAGUAGUAGUAAUACUAGUAGUGGGGGGAUAGAAGAGAGGAACCCGCAGCCAUAGGGUGUAGCGAAGAAUAGCCGGAUGACGGAACAAUAGGCGAAUUAAGAUAGUCCAUAGAAGAAUAUUAGCGUGCAGCGAAAUUGAGACGGUUUAUUUACUUUUAUGGCGGCAACUAAUGGCUUAACCAGGACAAUUCGAUCCUCUUAGCCAACCGAGUAGUUGGUCAAACAAUAGACAGAAGCGAUUGGAAUGGGAUGUCGGGACCCGCUGCGGUUAUUAACCCACAUCCACCGAACAGAAUCGGGGCAAUUAUCGCCGACCAGGAAAGCGCUCUCGACGUUAAGUCUUUGUUCUCGACCGGAGCAUCCAAUGGGGAUAAACGACCGGGAAAAGUAACCGGACGGAUAGGACCGCGGAAAGAUCGUCUCGGAGACGGAUUGCGGCCGACGGACGGCGCUUCCGGGACGAUGGUAAAGAAUGGUUAGACGGGUCACGGCCCGCCAACCGGUUCUCCUCCACAUCAUCCACCACGCUUUACGCUUGGCCGUCUUUCGUUCCUUAACUGGUGGCUGUCGACACCCAGCCCAAACGCCACUCCGCGUCUACCUCCGAAAUUUCCCUGAAAAUGUCGGAGACGACGGCUUCGAUUUUUAACCGCCAGAAAACUCGUUUUCCUUUCCAAAUUUGGUCGAAAGACGGGUUUUCCGGGUAUACUUUCCCUCGGACCCCGGCUCGAGUAUACUACGCCAUCUGCCGUGACUUUUAUGGCCAUUAAAAUAUGUCCGGGUUUACAAAAACUCGUAUUUAAAAAGGUGGCGGGAAGAGAAGUUUCCGCCAGCGAGGUGUGCUGCGCUCGAUUAACCGACUUCGGAAGAAAGGGAAUAGAAAAUUGGCUACCGACCAGUAGGAAUAUUUUUCGGAUUGACGGCCGAUGGAAGCAACCAGGCGCGUCUGUCGGUCACGGCCCGUUAGUCCUUAACCUCUGGAGAACGAAAAUCUGUUUCGGUCGAUGAAAGCCGGACCCGGUGUUAAGGACCGCCAAUGACCAUACCCGGCUUCAAUAAUGGCCUGGUCGAUUUUGUCGGGCUCUCUUCCCAUCCGUAUUGGCCGGAGCCACAACUUAACAGACCACCCGCCCUCGGCAUUUUUAACUCCACCUUGCCGGUCGCUCGGAUUAGCCUGGUGUGGAAAUUAGGUUACCGACGCCAUCUAGGCUACGGGCACGAUACCGUCUGACGGUGUCGUCCGCCACUGGUUACUGUCCGUUCUCUUUUUCCCGAGCGCUUUUUUUUUGUUUGCGCGCGUGUUCUUUGGUCACCCAUGGACGCCGGUAGCGCCGCAAUCACGGUGCGGUAGCACCGUGGUUACGGCGCUACGAGCUCCUCACACUAUCGAUUAAAGCUGGAAUACGUUUUUGGCCGAUUCGAUCGACGCUCCCAAUCAGUGCGGGGCCCGAAUCGAUAUUUCUCACCGGGCCCUUCAAAAUUUAUUUAUAUGUAUAAAUAAAAUAAAUAACGUUUAUAAAUAAAUACGCAUUUUUUUUACUUAAUCCUUUGACUUCUAUGGAGGCCUAUGAGUUAUACUCGGUCUUUGAUUUUUCAAUAAAAAUGCAAAAAUCAUGGAAACAACCGUUGACAUUAUCGUCGAUAAGUAUAUAUAUUUAACGCGCUUACCGAUGACGAUAAAUUAAAAAUUUACUGGUAUCCCGAACAGUCGGUUUGACAGAACUUUACUUCUUUCGACAAAUGACAAAGGAAGUGGUAAAAUAAUAUAAUUACGAUAUAGGUGUCAUCAUCGAGGGAUUUUCGUUUUGGACAAAUUACAUCGACAUAUGGGAUAUACAAAAAGGCUAAAUUAAUACUCGUUUAAGAAAAUUAAAAGGAACUCGAAAAACAUCGAUAAUUUUGUCAAACAGGGUGCAAAAUAUAAUCGAUUCAUUGCCUC